UUUAAGUCCCUUCAUUGACUGACAAACAAUCAGACUGCUUACUAGCUGCUGCUUAUCUUUUCCCUCCAUUAACAUCUCCCCAAAAGUAAACUAUUUGAAUAUUACAGUCACCUUGACAACAGAGGUGUCUAUUUUAAUAGCUUUCAGUAACAUUAUUCAAAGGGAAUCUAUUUUCCAAUAAAGUCUUUGGCAUUCUCUUUCUCUUCCAACCUCAAAGAGUUUAGGAUGAAACAUGUGCUUUGAAAUUAAAAUCACUGUAAAUUCGCUGAGUAAGAGAAUGUUUUCAUUUAGCAUAAUGUAGAAAAAAAAUUUUUUUUCUCUUGUAACGUACAUGAAAAAAUUUCACCAACAAAAAGGCAUGGCUCAAAUUUUA
rnacentral:lncRNA from 1 species